GAGUGAUCGAAAGAUGAAAAGCACUUUGAAAAGAGAGUUAAACAGCACGUGAAAUUGUUGAAAGGGAAGCGUUUGCGACCAGACUCGCCCGCGGGGUUCAGCCGGCAUUCGUGCCGGUGUACUUCCCCGUGGGCGGGCCAGCGUCGGUUUGGGCGGCCGGUCAAAGGCCCUCGGAAUGUAUCACCUCUCGGGGUGUCUUAUAGCCGAGGGUGCAAUGCGGCCUGCCUGGACCGAGGAACGCGCUUCGGCUCGGACGCUGGCGUAAUGGUCGUAAAUGACCC
rnacentral:rRNA from 1 species